AUUGAACGCUGGCGGCAUGCCUUACACAUGCAAGUCGAACGGUAACAGGUCUUCGGAUGCUGACGAGUGGCGAACGGGUGAGUAAUACAUCGGAACGUGCCCGAUCGUGGGGGAUAACGAAGCGAAAGCUUUGCUAAUACCGCAUAAGAUCUACAGAUGAAAGCAGGGGACCGCAAGGCCUUGCGCGAACGGAGCGGCCGAUGGCAGAUUAGGUAGUUGGUGGGAUAAAAGCUUACCAAGCCGACGAUCUGUAGCUGGUCUGAGAGGACGACCAGCCACACUGGGACUGAGACACGGCCCAGACUCCUACGGGAGGCAGCAGUGGGGAAUUUUGGACAAUGGGCGAAAGCCUGAUCCAGCCAUGCCGCGUGCAGGAUGAAGGCCUUCGGGUUGUAAACUGCUUUUGUACGGAACGAAAAGACUCUUUCUAAUAAAGAGGGUCCAUGACGGUACCGUAAGAAUAAGCACCGGCUAACUACGUGCCAGCCGCCGCAGUAAAAC
rnacentral:rRNA from 1 species